CAAACGAAAAUUAGUUUGAAACUAUUGCGAUUGAAGAAUUAGAUUUUUGCACAGUGAUAAAGAUAGCUUUUGAAACUUCGACACUUCCAAUCCAGCUGAUUUGUAAGCUGAAUACCUGAUGGUUGCCCUUAGGUUUUGGAUCAAGCGGAACUUUUUAUGAAGAAUAACUCUUUUUCGUCGGAUUGUGAAUGAAAAAGUUUUCCUUAUGGUGCGAACUUAAGUAGACGCACUUAUUUUAAAUCCUCGUAAAUACCUUUAUUAGGAACUCAAAACAAUUAUCUUUAUAAAAAGUUACCCCAAAACGUUUUAAAAGGCCUGGCAGUGACUGUGGAAUCGCCUAUUCGAA
rnacentral:lncRNA from 1 species